rnacentral:rRNA from 1 species
AUGGCUCAGGAUGAACGCUAGCUACAGGCUUAACACAUGCAAGUCGAGGGGCAGCAUAUCGAAAGCUUGCUUUGAUGAUGGCGACCGGCGCACGGGUGAGUAACGCGUAUCCAACCUUCCCUAUACUAGAGGAUAGCCCGGCGAAAGUCGGAUUAAUACUCUAUGUUCUUCGUAGAAGACAUCUGAAAUGAAGCAAAGGUUUACCGGUAUAGGAUGGGGAUGCGUCUGAUUAGGUUGUUGGCGGGGUAACGGCCCACCAAGCCCACGAUCAGUAGGGGUUCUGAGAGGAAGGUCCCCCACAUUGGAACUGAGACACGGUCCAAACUCCUACGGGAGGCAGCAGUGAGGAAUAUUGGUCAAUGGACGAGAGUCUGAACCAGCCAAGUAGCGUGCAGGAUGACGGCCCUAUGGGUUGUAAACUGCUUUUAUACAGGGAUAAAGUGCACUACGUGUAGUGUUUUGUAGGUACUGUAUGAAUAAGGACCAGCUAAUUCCGUGCCAGCAGCUGC